rnacentral:rRNA from 1 species
CAGUAGCCGCGGUAAUACAGAGGGUGCGAGCGUUAAUCGGAUUUACUGGGCGUAAAGCGUGCGUAGGCGGCUUCUUAAGUCGGAUGUGAAAUCCCCGAGCUUAACUUGGGAAUUGCAUUCGAUACUGGUUAGCUAGAGUGUGGGAGAGGAUGGUAGAAUUCCAGGUGUAGCGGUGAAAUGCGUAGAGAUCUGGAGGAAUACCGAUGGCGAAGGCAGCCAUCUGGCCUAACACUGACGCUGAGGUACGAAAGCAUGGGGAGCAAACAGGAUUAGAUACCCCCGUAGUCCCUGUCUCUUAUAC